UACGUAGGGGCCAAGCGUUGUCCGGAUUUAUUGGGCGUAAAGAGCUCGUAGGCGGUUCGGCAAGUCAGCUGUGAAAUCUCCACGCUCAACGUGGAGGGGUCAGCUGAUACUGCUGUGACUUGAGUCCGGUAGGGGAGUGUGGAAUUCCCGGUGUAGCGGUGAAAUGCGCAGAUAUCAGGAGGAACACCGAUGGCGAAGGCAGGUCUCUGGGCAACAACUGACGCUGGGGAGCGAAAGCGUGGGGAGCGAACGAGG
rnacentral:rRNA from 1 species